rnacentral:sRNA from 1 species
CGGCGUUUUGUGUAUUUGUCACUGAGACGAAACAAUAAGGACGCUAAAUAUACUCAUUGUGUAAAUAACACACACGGGCCGGCACAUACACCGGGGUGCUCUCAUGCAGAAUAUGCGGUUAGGAGUCGGUGUUAUGGGGUUCGUGGAGGCAUAACC